rnacentral:rRNA from 1 species
AUUGAACGCUGGCGGCAUGCUUUACACAUGCAAGUCGAACGGUAACAGGCCGCAAGGUGCUGACGAGUGGCGAACGGGUGAGUAAUGCAUCGGAACGUGCCCAGUCGUGGGGGAUAACGCAGCGAAAGCUGUGCUAAUACCGCAUACGAUCUGUGGAUGAAAGCGGGGGACCGUAAGGCCUCGCGCGCUUGGAGCGGCCGAUGUCAGAGUAGGUAGUUGGUGGGGUAAAGGCUCACCAAGCCGACGAUCUGUAGCUGGUCUGGGAGGACGACCAGCCACACUGGGACUGAGACACGGCCCAGACUCCUACGGGAGGCAGCAGUGGGGAAUUUUGGACAAUGGGCGCAAGCCUGAUCCAGCAAUGCCGCGUGCAGGAAGAAGGCCUUCGGGUUGUAAACUGCUUUUGUACGGAGCGAAAAGGCUCUCUCUAAUACAGGGGGCUCAUGACGGUACCGUAAGAAUAAGCACCGGCUAACUACGUGCCAGCCGCCGCCGUAAUAC